AGCAGCCGCGGUAAUUCCAGCUCCAAUAGCGUAUAUUAAAGUUGUUGCAGUUAAAAAGCUCGUAGUUGAAUUUCGGGAUCAAUAUGUCGGUCGUGCCUUGGUACGUACUGGUAUCAUUGGUCUCUCCUUUCUGACGAACCAUGAUGUCAUUAAUUUGGUGUUAUGGGAAGUUAGGACUGUUACUUUGAAAAAAUUAGAGUGUUUAAAGCAGGCUUUAGCUUGAAUACAUUAGCAUGGAAUAAUGAAAUAGGACGUUCGAACCUAUUUUGUUGGUUUCUAGGAUCAACGUAAUGAUUAAUAGGGAUAGUUGGGGGCAUUAGUAUUCAAUUGUCAGAAGUGAAAUUCUUGGAUUUAUUGAAGACUAACUACUGCGAAAGCAUUUGCCAAGGAUGUUUUCAUUAAUCAAGAACGAAAGUUAGGGGAUCGAAGACGAUCAGAUACCGUCGUAGUCUUAACCAUAAACUAUGCCGACUAGGGAUCGGAUGAUGUUAAUUUUUUAAUGACUCAUUCGGCGCCUUACG
rnacentral:rRNA from 1 species